GGAGCACAAAGCACAGCUGCGCGCAACUCGGGCGUGGCGCCGGUGGCGGAUUGGCGUCGCGGAACCGCCUCGGCGAUGACGCCCCCGAAGCCCCAGCCACCGGCUGCUGAGAGAUGGUGCUGCCAGGUCGCGGGGCGGCGCCACUUCCUCAUCGAGCGAUUGCUUCCACCGAGAUGAGGUCGCGGUGACCGGCCGGAGAUUUGGAUGUCAGAAAAAGUGCACAUAGUGUGAAUCUGGCAAGUGGCACACUGCAAAUAGUAGAUGAUUUUUUUUUGCCUGUGGGGGAUGUCCAACAACCCUGGUUUCAGACUUUCAGGGACUGUCUUAUACAUGAAAUUUUACUAUAAGCAUGGAUCAUUCAUGACUCAAUCUUAACACUUGCAAAACAAUCUAGUACUGAUACAAUUUGCAAAAUGCAUCCGGAUCAUUCAUGGAUCAUUGAUUUUGUAGUAAGAGGAUCUGAAGGCGCUUAUUUAUCAUAAUGUGGACAGUGGGAUCUAGAACUUUCAGCGCCUCCUAGCAGCUGUUUCUCUCUGAGCAUUGAAGUAGACAGCAGCUACAGGGAGGCCAAGGUCAUUUUCCUCAGCAAACUGCUUGGUGUUGAAAUGAUCCCUGAAGGAUGGCACAGUUACAGUUUGCCUGCGCUUCUGCUUGAAGAGCACAAAAAUGAACCUGUGGAUACCAAUGCUAGGUCUUGGGCUCUCGUAGCUUAUGACCUCUCGCCCUGCAAUUUGGAAGAUGCAUGGUUAUUAAUUCAAAGAACAACUGGAACAUGGCAUAGAUUAAGCAUGAAUCAGUGAAAGAGCCUACCAAACGAGGCAUCUGUUGUCCCAGGUAUAUCGGUCACGAUCCUGCAAAUGUAAAGGAUAACAUUUAGCCACACCACAAAGUGUUCAGAAAAUGUGCUGUUUUGUGUAUAUGGAAGAUGUGAUGCUAUCUUCCUUAGCAACAUAUGUUAUUUGAUGUCCAUGAGGUAAGAAAUGCUGAAUAUUACCAGUGAA